rnacentral:rRNA from 1 species
GUAACCUGCCCAAGAGACUGGGAUAACACCUGGAAACAGAUGCUAAUACCGGAUAACAACACUAGACGCAUGUCUAGAGUUUGAAAGAUGGUUCUGCUAUCACUCUUGGAUGGACCUGCGGUGCAUUAGCUAGUUGGUAAGGUAACGGCUUACCAAGGCAAUGAUGCAUAGCCGAGUUGAGAGACUGAUCGGCCACAUUGGGACUGAGACACGGCCCAAACUCCUACGGGAGGCAGCAGUAGGGAAUCUUCCACAAUGGACGAAAGUCUGAUGGAGCAACGCCGCGUGAGUGAAGAAGGGUUUCGGCUCGUAAAGCUCUGUUGGUAGUGAAGAAAGAUAGAGGUAGUAACUGGCCUUUAUUUGACGGUAAUUACUUAGAAAGUCACGGCUAACUACGUGCCAGCAGCCGCGGUAAUACGUAGGUGGCAAGCGUUGUCCGGAUUUAUUGGGCGUAAAGCGAGUGCAGGCGGUUCAAUAAGUCUGAUGUGAAAGCCUUCGGCUCAACCGGAGAAUUGCAUCAGAAACUGUUGAACUUGAGUGCAGAAGAGGAGAGUGGAACUCCAUGUGUAGCGGUGGAAUGCGUAGAUAUAUGGAAGAACACCAGUGGCGAAGGCGGCUCUCUGGUCUGCAACUGACGCUGAGGCUCGAAAGCAUGGGUAGCGAACAGGAUUAGAUACCCUGGUAGUCCAUGCCGUAAACGAUG